GUUUCUGUGAAUCACCGGCAAUGCAGAGUGCACCAAACUGCUACUGAAGGGAUUUAAUGUAUCUCUUGUAGCGGGAUGUCAACUGCCUCAAGAAGGCGACCAAGCCGGGUCUUUAGGGUACAAAAACACAAGUGCCGCAGAUGGGAGACCAACAACUGGAUCCUGCUUCUGCUGAUCCCUGAUGGUGCGAAGCGAGCGCCAAUUACCGCUGCAAAUGCCAUAAUACAAUCCUAUGCUGCAUGGUUAUGAUCUCCAGGUGAACUAUUACUAUGUCAUCCAAGGAUUUGAUAGGUUUUGUGGUACAGAAGAAACCGUUCAUGUGAAGCUGUGAGAAUGCUGAGUUUAGUUGAAGCUAAACUUUUAUGAUGAGACUAGGAUUUUAUUCUUCUAGAUUCAGAUGGUGGUGUGUAGCGGUUUGUGUACAGGGGAAUGCUUGAUUCACGCAUGGAUGGAGAAUCUGCACCCAUGUGGGCAUUGGUGCACUGGGUUUCAUUCGAGUUCGACAAGCAGGUUCGGCAAAGAAUGUAGCGUGCCGAAGUAACGGGAGUAGGAUUAUUAGGGUUUUGCAUCAAGCCUGGGAAAUAUGUUAAGUCGCAACUGCAUGCAAUUACUGCGCAAUGAUCAGCAGCAUUCGCAAUAGUGAAGUUUUAUGUGGAUAUCACAAGCAUUGUAGUCGAUGAGAUGGCCAGCACUGCUAUGUUCUGCGAAUUCGAAUGAAAGUCUGCUUGAAAUGUAAACCAAUUUUUUAGUCGGGGGUUUUCUCCGACCCAUGUCGAACCAGGGUGAUCAUCAACUAGUUCAUAGUACCGGCGCUCUGCAAGAGGUUCCAUACACUGCUUGGAACACCAAUGACUCUGAAUAGUUGGUGCAAAUGAUUUUACAUUUUUGCAUUUAUUGAAAAUAAAAUUUUGCUAAUCUUGCAGAGUAAUUUGUCCUCGGUGCAAAGCUUGCGAUUUAGCCAUAGUUCUGAAGCAGUGGAGUGAGUCAAAAC
rnacentral:lncRNA from 1 species